CCAGGAGGACGGGCGGCCGCCUCGGCGUUUGCCGGGGAGGAAAGUCCGAGCUCCACCGGGCAGGGUGCUGGGUAACGCCCAGGCGCGGCGACGCGACGGAAAGUGCCACAGAGACGAGACCGCCCCGAUUCGUCGGGGUAAGGGUGAAACGGUGCGGUAAGAGCGCACCAGCGGCCGGGCGACCGGCCGGCUGGGCAAACCCCACCCGGAGCAAGACCAUGUAGGAGGGCCAGGGGCGCCCGGCUCGCCCUCGGGUUGGUCGCUAGAGGCCUCGAGCAAUCGGGGUCCCAGAUGGAUGGCCGCCGUCCCGACACGUCGGGAUACAGAACUCGGCUUACAGUCCGCCUGGCUGC
rnacentral:RNase_P_RNA from 1 species